rnacentral:rRNA from 1 species
GAUGAACGCUAGCGGCAGGCCUAACACAUGCAAGUCGAGGGGCAGCACAUAAAGUGGUUUACUACUUUUGGUGGCGACCGGCGGACGGGUGCGUAACGCGUAUGCAACCUGCCUCCAACAGGGGGAUAACGGAGAGAAAUUUCCACUAAUACCCCAUAAUAUCAGAAUCGGCAUCGGUUUUGGUUGAAAACUCCGGUGGUUGGAGAUGGGCAUGCGUUGUAUUAGAUAGUUGGUGAGGUAACGGCUCACCAAGUCAGCGAUACAUAGGGGGACUGAGAGGUUAGCCCCCCACACUGGUACUGAGACACGGACCAGACUCCUACGGGAGGCAGCAGUGAGGAAUAUUGGCCAAUGGGGGCAACCCUGAACCAGCCAUGCCGCGUGCAGGAAGACGGCUCUAUGAGUUGUAAACUGCUUUUACAAGGGGAUAAAUCGGUGUACGUGUACACCGUUGAAGGUACCUUGGGAAUAAGGAUCGGCUAACUCCGUGCCAGCAGCCGCAGUAA